GGUAGAUCUUAUACUCAUUACUUUCUAUUGAAGCCACCAAAUCUGAGGAUCGAAGCAAUUAUCGAAGCUCUUCAAGAAAAGAAAGUGGUGAUUCUACUAGAUGACAUAUCCUGUUACUACAACCCGUAGCUACCUUACCAGGAUGGUGAUGGAUACAAGGGAAACAAGAUCCAAUUCUCGGGUCCGUUGGUUUCGUCAAACGUGGAUCAGAUGCUUAAGGAUCAUGACCAUGUUUAUGUUACAGCACAACACAAUUAACACGUGUUAUAGUUUGAACUUCAGGACAUGCAUGUGUUACAUGUGACAUGAAACCCAUGUACAACGUAACACGUAUUAGUGCUAUGUAUUUUUGUUUACUAGUAAUAUGUAAUGUGAGACUCUUCUUGUUUUCUCUAGUACACGAUGUUAAAACGGUCUAGACUUAACACAUUUUCUGUUGGAGGCG